UUUUGUUCCAAACUUCAUACAUAAAUCCAGCCUAAACCUCUCCUUCUCUAUCCUUUAUCCCCCAUUUCGUAUAAUAAAAUCAAAAGCGACACCACACCACUAUGAUCAACCUUUCUUCCCUACAUGCGUUACAGAUCCUCGGCGAUCAAGAAUGGAGAUAACUUGGGUUCGGUGCUCUAGAAGGCAUAAGUGGCCUAGACUACUUUCAUAAAUGUCGAAUAUUGGAGAAUAUAUCUAAGAGACGUUAGAGGAGGUUUUAAUCGAUUUGAAUACACAAGAAUUGAAUUCCUCUACAUAAAACGAGAGACUUCUAUGGCGUGCUCGAAUAACGUUUACGGAUAACAAAAGGAGACGUGAAAUUCUGAGAACAACUAAGGAAAGCUCCAGACAUUGCCUUGUCAAUGCACAAAAAUAUGUAAGUAGCGUUUCUAUAGGAUCUUACUAAGACACAUGGGCUUAAACGACUGCAAAAGCAACAUUUUCUUGAAAUACGUGAGAUUAAUCCGGAACCAUUAGACGCCCAGAAACAAAAAUAUGUCAUUAAAAGUUUAACCUAUUAUGAGACCAAAGCAAACUUCGGAAAGCUUUAGAACUCAAAUGAAAGACCGAAAUACCCGAUAAUUGCAGUGUGUGACAUGUAUGAUUUCCAAUGGUCUUCUGCACGUAUAGAAACUCCAAAGUACUCAUUUGAGCGAAAAGAUCCCAUGAGGGAAUGUGAUAGUCUCGGUCAUCAUUGUGUCGUUAUAACUAACUGGUAUAUAUAUGUGUGUGCCAUCUUCUGAGGCUAAAAAACUGGGGUUCAAAUUAAAAACUCCUAUGACAAAGUCUGUGGAAAUCAAGGAAAAGGCCGAGUAACCGAAGAUUAUUUUAAAGUCAUCAGGGUACUAAAGAUGGCAAACUAAAAGCCAUCUUGAUAUUGAAGAACCCUAAGCAGUAUAUGAAGUUGUUGGCUACACGGUCUAUGUUUCAUGUUCAGUAAGAAACUAUUGUGAAUUUUGAUGAUUGUUAAAAAUUGGGGUGACGAAGUGUGAGGAAAUCAAUGAAAAAGCUGAGUAACCGAAGAUUAUUUUAGUAACAAAGAUGGCAAACUAAAAGCUAUCAUAAUAUUGAAGAAUCCUAAGCAGUGUGUGAAGUUGUUGGCUACACGGUCUAUGUUUCAUGUUUAGUAAGAAACUAUUGUGAAUUUUGAUGAUUGUUAA